rnacentral:rRNA from 1 species
UACGGAGGGUGCAAGCGUUAUCCGGAUUCACUGGGUUUAAAGGGUGCGUAGGUGGGUUGGUAAGUCAGUGGUGAAAUCCCCCGAGCUUAACUCGGGAACUGCCAUUGAUACUGAUGGUCUUGAGUACAUUUGAGGUGGGCGGAAUGUGUCAUGUAGCGGUGAAAUGCUUAGAUAUGACACAGAACACCGAUUGCGAAGGCAGCUCACUAAACUGUAAACUGACGCUGAGGCACGAAAGCGUGGGGAGCAAACAGG